rnacentral:lncRNA from 1 species
CCCCCCCCUAUUUUCUAAUCAAGUAACUACGGAAAGCAGUCGGUGUCCGGUGAGACUCAACCUCCCUGUCUGACUCUGUUAACUGUUAAGGCCUCCUUUACCUCUUUCUAAAGAUUAAGUAGAUUCUACUUAUUCAAACUUAUUUGAGUUUGAUACUUUCAUGAUUUCUGUUUUCCACCAAUUAGUAGGAACUAGGAUUAAUAUUGAAUUGAGCUUAAUAACAAAUGUUACCGCUUGAUAGGUUCGAUCUUUUAAGUUCUUAGCGUUUAACUCAUUGUUUUCUUAAAACAAAAUUAUGGGUGUAGAUCUAAUAUCUGUUGAAAAUUGGGUGGUUUUCAUACAAAAAACUUUACUCCUUGUUGGUGGCGAAGCACUGAUACGCUUCUAGUAAUUACCACAUCAAAGUUAAAGAUAAUGGUGUCCCCGCCACUUCCAAAUCCUAGGUCCGCCUCUACAUGCACAUGAGUCGUGAAUCCAUAUAUAAUACUGGUGUCUCCAUAUUUGACUAUAUUCCAUUAAUAUAUUAACUUUUUGACCUGUCUAGAAUGUUGAUGUUGUCGAUAAGAAAGAUCAAUCCUGAAUAAGCUUCAGCGGAUUCUCAUUAUAAAUCUUUUUAUAAGCAAGGAGCUAUCUAUAGGAAGAUAAUUGCCAGGUCAGUCUGGUCGGAAAGAAGCUUGCUUACACCUUGCUUUAUAUUGAAAGAAGUCUUCCUCCUUGAGAAGGUAGCCUUUCUAUCAUUUAGUGGAUAACUCCUUGCUCCAUUCCGCUUAAGGUGGCGCGCCUUAGUCCCAUAAGCUUAUGCCUAUACCUGCUUUCCCUUGAAAUAUACAUAGUAAACCACUUUAAACUCGCAGUUAGUCUUGGCCCAACUCUGCCCGGGGGUUGGCCUUUUAAGGCUUAUUUCACUUCUUUUUUUCUUUUUCUCUUAUUGCUAAUUGGAACUCCGGCUCCGGUAACCUCCUGAACCUUAUCCAUUACCCUUCUUCAACAAGGGGAAGAUAGGAGGUAAUUCCCUUUUUCAAGGCCCCUAACCUAGUCCUGGUUUGGUUCUCCAGUGGAAAGAUUUGAGAUACCUUCUCCUACCCUAUAAAGUACUGUCCUAUUUCGAUAAUAAGAACAAAAUUAUGGCCAUAAAGAUUCUUGCAAAGUAAUUUCGUAGCCAAUAGAAAGGACAUAUGAAUCACAUUCAAUGGGAAAUUUAACCAUGUCUUGUCGUGUAGAACGAAGGUUUUAGGUUCAACAUGAAUAUUUGCUUUAGUAUUGCUUGCACUAUAUACUGAAGUAAUGUAUGUGCGACCAAUUACUAACAGUUCCUAUUUCAAUUACUUCCCCAACCAUGCUACGUUCAUGAGAGCUUACUGCAUUUGAUAAGUUAAUUAUCUAUAGGAGGCAAGGAACUUGAAAUGCCUGAGAGGAAAUC